rnacentral:rRNA from 1 species
GGCGGACGGGUGAGUAAUGCGUAGGAAUUUACCUCAAAGUGGGGGAUAGCCCGAAGAAAUUCGGAUUAAUACCGCAUGCGCUCUACGGAGCAAAGCGGGCCUCUUCUUGAAAGCUCGCGCUUUGAGAUAAGCCUACGUCGGAUUAGCUUGCUGGUAGGGUAAAAGCCUACCAAGGCGACGAUCCGUAGCUGGUUUGAGAGGAUGACCAGCCACACUGGGACUGAGACACGGCCCAGACUCCUACGGGAGGCAGCAGUGGGGAAUAUUGGACAAUGGGCGCAAGCCUGAUCCAGCAAUGCCGCGUGUGUGAAGAAGGCCUGCGGGUUGUAAAGCACUUUUAUCAGGAAAGAAAAACUCGGGGUUAAUACCCCCGGGCCUUGACGGUACCUGAUGAAUAAGCACCGGCUAACUCCGUGCCAGCAGCCGCGGUAAUAC